rnacentral:rRNA from 1 species
UACGUAGGGCGCAAGCGUUGUCCGGAAUUAUUGGGCGUAAAGGGCGCGUAGGCGGCGCAACAAGUCACUUGUGAAAUCUCCGGGCUUAACCCGGAGCGGUCAAGUGAUACUGUCGUGCUAGAGUGCGGAAGGGGCUACUGGAAUUCUCGGUGUAGCGGUGAAAUGCGUAGAUAUCGAGAGGAACACCUGCGGCGAAGGCGGGUAGCUGGGCCGACACUGACGCUGAUGCGCGAAAGCCAGGGGAGCGAACGGG